GAUGAACGCUGGCGGCGUGCCUAAUACAUGCAAGUCGAGCGAACGGACGAGAAGUUCGCUUCUCUGGUGGUAUCGGCGGACGGGUGAGUAACACGUGGAUCACCUACCUAUAAGACUGGGAUAGCUUCGGGAAACCGUAGAUAAUACCGGAUAAUAUUUUGAACCGCAUGGUUCAACAGUGAGAGGCGGUCUUGCUGUCAGUUAUAGAUGGAGCCGCGCUGCAUUAGCUAGUUGGUAAGGUAACGGCUUACCAAGGCAACGAUGCAUAGCCGACCUGAGAGGGUGAUCGGCCACACUGGAACUGAGACACGGUCCAGACUCCUACGGGAGGCAGCAGUAGGGAAGCUUCCGCAAUGGGCGAAAGCCUGACGGAGCAACGCCGCGUGAGUGAUGAAGGUCUUCGGAUCGUAAAACUCUGUUAUUAGGGAAGAACAUAUGUGUAAGUAACUGUGCACAUCUUGACGGUACCUAAUCAGAAAGCCACGGCUAACUACGUG
rnacentral:rRNA from 1 species